rnacentral:rRNA from 1 species
UACAGAGACCUCAAGCGUUAUCCGGAAUCAUUGGGCGUAAAGCGUACCGAUAGGUGGUUUUACAAGUCAGAAGUGAAAUCUCUCAGCUUAACUGGGAGACUGUCUUUUGAAACUGUAAAACUAGAGGGGCAAAGAGGAAGCUGGAACGAACGGUGUAGUAGUGAAAUGCGUUGAUAUCGUUCGGAACACCAAUAGCGUAGGCAGGCUUCUGGGUGCCACCUGACACUGCUAGGACGAGAGCGUGGGGAGCGAACAGG